CAAUAGCGUAUAUUAAAGUUGUUGCAGUUAAAAAGCUCGUAGUUGGAUUUCUGGUUGGAGCGAUCGGUCUGGCGCUUAGCGCGAGUACUUGCAUCGUCUCCGGCCAUCCUUGGGGAGAGUCUGUCUGGCAUUAGGUUGUCGGGCAGAGGAUCCUCAUCGUUUACUGUGAAAAAAUUAGAGUGUUCAAAGCAGGCUUAUGCCGUUGAAUAUAUUAGCAUGGAAUAAUAAGAUAGGACUUUGGUACUAUUUUGUUGGUUUGCGCACCAAAGUAAUGAUUAAUAGGGACAGUUGGGGGUAUUCGUAUUCCGUUGUCAGAGGUGAAAUUCUUGGAUUUACGGAAGACGAACUACUGCGAAAGCAUUUACCAAGGAUGUUUUCAUUAA
rnacentral:rRNA from 1 species